UAAGAAGGGCUUGUUCCUUGCUUUGCCGUUCGCGGUGAUUGCAUUGAAACUUGCUUCUUUAUAAUCAUAAACGACUCUCGGCAACGGAUAUCUCGGCUCACGCAUCGAUGAAGAACGUAGCAAAAUGCGAUACUUGGUGUGAAUUGCAGAAUCCCGUGAACCAUCGAGUUUUUGAACGCAAGUUGCGCCCGAAGCCUUUUGGUUGAGGGCACGUCUGCCUGGGCGUCACACAUCGCGUCGCCCCCAUCACACCUCUUGACGGGGAUGUUUGAAUGGGGACGGAGAUUGGUCUCCCGUUCCUAAGGUGCGGUUGGCUGAAUUUUGAGUCCUCUUCGUUGGACGCACGAUUAGUGGUGGUUGACAAGACCUUCUUAUCGAGUUGUGUGUUCCAAGAAGUAAGGAAUAUCUCUUUAAUGACCCUAAAGUGUUGUCUCAUGACGAUGCUUCGACUGCGACCCCAGGUCAGGCGGGACUACCCGCUGAGUUUAAGCAUAUCAAUAAGCGGAGGA
rnacentral:rRNA from 1 species